rnacentral:lncRNA from 7 species
GUUUUGCUCUAAAGAUUUAAUUGUAGUCUAGUUUGGAUAUAAUUUUAGAAGUACUAAUUCACUCGCUCUUAGAUAUCACUGUUUCCUUAAGUGUCCAAUGUGUCCUCAGUCUCCUCAUUGUUGGUGCCCCUAUGUCUUCCUCGUCGCUAGGGCCGCUCCUUGGCCUCGUCUCCGCGCUUGCCGACGAUUCGUCCUUCUCCGAUCUCCCGUUGUUCCCCAUCCCUAGCGACCACGCUGUCUUCGUCCUCCGAGACCUGAUGUCGUGGAGCCCCGUCGCCUAGAGUUGGUUGUUGUCACUGCCGUCUCGUGUAUUCAGCGAGUUCCGCAACCGGACGCGGUCUGCUGUGACCCUAAGGCCCUAACGAUGUUGUGGUGGAGUCCGGGGACAACGAGGAACAUGAAGGUUCUGGUUAGAGAUGGC